rnacentral:tRNA from 1 species
UCAGGGGGUAUUUUAUUUAAAAUGUUAGUUUUGGGGACUAGUGAAAUGGCGUGUGUCUUUCCUCUGAA